rnacentral:rRNA from 1 species
CCUUGUUACGACUUCACCCCAGUCACGAACCCUGCCGUGGUAAUCGCCCUCCUUGCGGUUAGGCUAACUACUUCUGGCAGAACCCGCUCCCAUGGUGUGACGGGCGGUGUGUACAAGACCCGGGAACGUAUUCACCGCGGCAAGCUGAUCCGCGAUUACUAGCGAUUCCGACUUCACGCAGUCGAGUUGCAGACUGCGAUCCGGACUACGACCGGUUUUCUGGGAUUGGCUCCCCCUCGCGGGUUGGCAGCCCUCUGUACCGGCCAUUGUAUGACGUGUGUAGCCCUACCCAUAAGGGCCAUGAGGACCUGACGUCAUCCCCACCUUCCUCCGGUUUGUCACCGGCAGUCUCAUCAGAGUGCCCUUUCGUAGCAACUGAUGACAAGGGUUGCGCUCGUUGCGGACUUACCCACAU